rnacentral:lncRNA from 1 species
GGCACAGACUAAUUCAGGAUCAUCUAUUUCCAAAGCCUGGGCCUCACAUGACCACUACACCUAACUUCUUUGAGAUGCUGUAGAAGAACCUCUUCUGCAAGACCAUUCAUUCAUGCCUUGAGACAGUAUGAAUCAAGCUGACUUUUUUUUUUUCCAAGGAGUUUUUAAAGACCAUCAAGCUUCAGACCAUCAUGCAGCAAGGGCUCUAGCCAGUUCCAGGUGAAGACCCCACCCCGGGCCAUCAAGGAGCUUCCCUGCCUCCACUAGACAGAGCAGAGUGAGAGUUCCAUGAUCCCCAAUAGGUAGGGGCUAUGCCUCAAGCCAGCAUGAAGCAGUUACAGAAAAAAAGACCAUCAGUUCCUCUGCCUCCCAUGGGGAUCACAUCUUUCAGCAGGGAGAUGAGGCAUAAAAACAAGGUCUGGAGGCAGGGAAUUCAAGGCCGAUUCACACUUCAGCUAUGACAGGAAAUAUCCUCUCCAUAGGGUAUAGGCCAAGUAAAUGACUUUGUAACUUUACUCCUCAUUUUCAUAGGUUGCACCCCAAGUAAGCAAUGGAAUCCUCUAGAGGGUAUUUCCCCAAAAUUCUGUAAUGGGGUCCUUGAGCCCCUAUGCUCGGGCCCACUCCCACACUGUGGAGUGUACUUUCAUUUUCAAUAAAUCCCUCAUUUCUUCCUUGCUCUGUUUGUGCAUUUUGUCCAAUUCUUUGUUCAAGACGCCAAGAACCUGGACACCCUCCACCGGUGACAAUGGCAGAAGGUGAAGGGGAAGCAAGCACAUCUUACCAUGGCGGAUCAGGA